AACGGCCGCGGUAUCCUAACCGUGCAAAGGUAGCAUAAUCACUUGCCUAUUAAUUGUAGGCUAGAAUGAAAGGGUUAACGAAAUAAAGACUGUCUCAAUUAAUUACCUAAAAAUUACUACCUACCUGAAGAAGAGUAGAUAAUCUCGAAGGACAAGAAGACCCUAUAGAGCUUAAUUUUAAUUAUAGAACUAUACUAUAAAAAUAUUCGGUUGGGGCGACCCAGGGCUAAUCAAUCACCCACUUCAUAAAAGAUAAAUUAAUCAAGUAACUGACCCCUAAAAGAUCAUAAGAACAAGCUACCUUAGGGAUAACAGGCUAAUCCCACUCAAGAGUCCUUAUCAACAGUGGGGUUUGGCACCUCGAUGUUGGCUUAGG
rnacentral:rRNA from 1 species